AGGGGGCCCACGCCUCCGCCCCACUCUGACCCGCAGGUUUUCAGACUUGCCGGUGUGUGCCAAACCAUGAAUUCAAAAUCUUGAACUACCCGAUCCCACGGGACUAAGGCAGGAGGGGGUCGCAGGGGGCCUGGUGCUGGAAGUCCAGUUUGCAAAUAAACCAAGGAGCUGGAGGAAGCUGUCAGGCCACACUAGCGGUUCCAGCGCUCUUGGCUCUCAGCCCCCACCUGCCGGGAAGGGUCGGUCUGCACUCUGCCUUCCACGACGGCAGGUUAGAAAAUGAUUGUUUGUUUACAAUGAAAAGUAGUAGAGCUAGAGAAUAAUAUGCACAAAAUGUGACAUCCUGCGUGAUGAAACCAGAGCAAAGGAGCCCUAAAUGCAGGAGCGCACAGGUGUCCGCGCAGCCGGGAAUCAGCCAGCGCCUGCCCGCAGAGUCCAGGGAACCGACAGGUGAGCGCUCCCGGGCCCGGGAGCGCCAGGGAGAGGCCGGGCCACCGAGGCCCAAAGCAGCAAGUGUGUCCUCAGGGGAGCUUGUGCAAUAGCCCCAGUCACAGAGGCAAAGCUCAGAAACAACCCCGUCGGGUGUUCUGGCCAGCAACUGCCGCAAGCAGCCUCCUGAGUAAGCCCAAAACCACUGAUUUCCAGUCACUAUGGAUUUGGGGCUCAGGUGGGGAAACAGGGAGGAAAUCCAAAGAUUAAUAAACUAGUUCAUAGUCUCCAUUUUCCUCUCAGAGUGCAACAUGGUAAAGUAUUUUACUCCCCCACGCGCAUGUAUACACACAGCUGCACAACCGAAUGCUGGAAUUAUGAUGUGCCAUUCAACCUUUAAUUACAUAAGCUGUUUUCAAAAAUCACAUUCAGCGUGGAGAUUUUCCAGAGAUGCUGGACUUGGGAAGAACCUCCAUGACCUGUGUCCUGAG
rnacentral:lncRNA from 1 species